UAUUUCAGAAACCCAUGCCAGACAAACAUGGCCAGGUCACUGACAUCCUCUAAAGUGAAACAGUCCGGCUUGGUCAAGGACCACCUAUCAGCCUCCUAUAUGUUCAAAGAAGGAGCAGGAGGAUAUUUUUGUUUCUCCUCUCCUGGAGAUCUGACAUCUACCUGUGGUGUUUCAUACUGACAGUGGAGCAUUCGUUCUCCUAACCCCCAUCCCUUCUCAGGUCCUGGUUAAAAAAAAGUGGACCCUGUGGCUAUUCCUUUCCUUCCUUUUCUUGUUAUCAGAUAUAACUGAAGUAUAUUGGAAAACAUAUUUGGUCUUAAACCAUUCUCUGGCUAAACCAUCAUUGAUGCGAUAGUUGGCCAUCACUUUUAACAAUAUCAUUUCUUUACGCUUCUCCUGAAGAAGCAAGGUUUUCCUUGCGAAACGUGUCGAGAAUGUCAGCACAGGUCUUCCAGGUUGAUGGUGGAUGUUAAUAUUAACUGCAAUGUUUAUUUAUGUUGAUCAAUAUUCAGUACUACAUAUAUUUUUGGGCUAUUUAUGUAUAUGUGUUGUUUUUAAAUGU